rnacentral:rRNA from 1 species
UACGGAGGGUGCGAGCGUUGUCCGGAAUCACUGGGCGUAAAGGGCGCGUAGGCGGCCUGAUAAGUAGGGGGUGAAAUCCUGCGGCUUAACCGCAGGGCUGCCUUCUAAACUGUCAGGCUUGAGCACAGUAGAGGCAGGUGGAAUUCCCGGUGUAGCGGUGGAAUGCGUAGAGAUCGGGAGGAACACCGGUGGCGAAGGCGGCCUUCUGGACGGUGACUGACGCUGAGGCGCGAAAGCGUGGGGAGCAAACGGG